AAGGAGAUUUCACCCAAGUGUGAGCUUAAAGUGUUUCAUUGUGGUUCCAGCUCCAGUUUCAAUGGUUGUAACAAUCAGAAUUCCUGUUGAACAUUGCUGUCGAUAAUUACUCUCCUAUUGUAUUUGUGUCAUAAAAUCAUCUGUGUUGUUAAGCUGCAGUGCUGAUUUAUUGGUCAAUGAAAGUUGCAAAUAAUUGGAUUGAACCAAUCAAUGAAUAAAGUUUCUUUCUUUUUCUUGGGAAGGAAAGCUUUAGAUCUUUCCAUUACCAAAUCUAAUGAUUGGUGUUUUCUACAGUUGAAUGCCAAAAUUUUGCAGCACACAGAUCUGGCUGGCGGCUGGCAAAGCACAUUUCUUUCCUUUCUUGUUUUCAAGCCCCUAAUUGUUCUUUUUCUAUUUAUGGAAGAACGAAACUUUGAAGCCGAAAAAUACAAGUAUAAAACAUUUAGACUCACCAAACCUCCGAUCAAUUCUCUUCUGGUGCUUGUGGAGGAAAACCUGAGGGGGCUGGUUAAGGGAACGAACUGUUCCUCCUUGGCCAUCACAGGAUCCGAACUUAGGCUAAUAAUAUACAUGAAUCAAACUUCUCAUGAAUCCUAAAUUCUGAUGCGAAUGUGCUUUGUUUUACUGCACCGGAGACAUGGACAUAGUUUUGAUGAUGUGUGUAAAGAAUAGAGUAUACCCUUGACAGAGAAAAACAAGAAAAGUUCAACAUUGAGAUAGCAGACCACCAAACCAGUUAGG
rnacentral:lncRNA from 1 species